CACGCCUUCUCCGGGGCCCAGAAGGCGGAGACGGCGGCGAAUCGGAUCUGCAAAGUUCUGGCCGUGAACCAGGAGAACGAGCAGCUCAUGGAGGACUACGAGCGCCUGGCCUCGGAUCUGCUGGCGUGGAUCCA